rnacentral:rRNA from 1 species
UACGUAGGAGGCAAGCGUUGUCCGGAUUCACUGGGUGUAAAGGGUCCGCAGGCGGAUAAAUAAGUCGGUGGUGAAAUCCUUCAGCUUAACUGAAGAACUGCCUCCGAUACUGUUUAUCUUGAGUAUAGAAGAGGGCGAUGGAAUUCCAGGUGUAGCGGUGAAAUGCGUAGAUAUCUGGAAGAACACCGGUUGCGAAGGCUGUCGCCUGGUCUAUUACUGACGCUCAGGGACGAAAGCGUGGGGAUCAAACAGG